GCAGUUCGACGAUGAAGCCCUUCGGGGUGGAUUAGUGGCGAACGGGUGAGUAACACGUGGGCAAUCUGCCCUUCACUCUGGGACAAGCCCUGGAAACGGGGUCUAAUACCGGAUAACACUCUGUCCCGCAUGGGACGGGGUUAAAAGCUCCGGCGGUGAAGGAUGAGCCCGCGGCCUAUCAGCUUGUUGGUGGGGUGAUGGCCUACCAAGGCGACGACGGGUAGCCGGCCUGAGAGGGCGACCGGCCACACUGGGACUGAGACACGGCCCAGACUCCUACGGGAGGCAGCAGUGGGGAAUAUUGCACAAUGGGCGAAAGCCUGAUGCAGCGACGCCGCGUGAGGGAUGACGGCCUUCGGGUUGUAAACCUCUUUCAGCAGGGAAGAAGCGAAAGUGACGGUACCUGCAGAAGAAGCGCCGGCUAACUACGUGCCAGCAGCCGCGGUAAUACGUAGGGCGCAAGCGUUGUCCGGAAUUAUUGGGCGUAAAGAGCUCGUAGGCGGCUUGUCACGUCGGAUGUGAAAGCCCGGGGCUUAACCCCGGGUCUGCAUUCGAUACGGGCUAGCUAGAGUGUGGUAGGGGAGAUCGGAAUUCCUGGUGU
rnacentral:rRNA from 1 species